AAAGCCUUUCUCGGUGCCGUUCAGACCUGACGCUGCCUCUUCUCCAAGCACAUCAGUCGGAGAUCCUGACCCUGCCAUUGGCUCUGCAUGGGCACAUUAGAGUUACACGUGGGCACAAAGUCCUGAACAUGCAGAUCCUGUUGCCAAAUGAGGUACAGAUAAGACAGAUCCGACAUAUAAAAUGCCAAGGUCUAGAGGCUGCUCCUAUAGCAGCCAGCAGUAAAGCUCCCAGCACUUUUCAUGGUGCAGUCAGGGCCCACAUGGGAGGACUACGAAUGCUGUUUCCAGUCGUACAGACCCACAGUGAGCAGACUCACCAUGGAGAAGGAAAAGCCGGGCAGAGCGGUCCAUACAGCGGGACGCCCCUCUGCCUCGCCCGUCUCCGGAAAACCGAAGGGAGUAACUCUAUUGUGAAGAAGAAAACACAGCACGUUUGACGCUGCCCUGGCUUUGAAUACUUACAAUGCUGACUGAAAGGAGCCGUGCUAUUCAUAUUAGAACAGCUAAUUAAAAUGUAAACAGUGUUGCUUUUAA